UUUAUUUACAAAGGAAUGUUAGCAUACACACCCUCACGUGCACCUCCAUGAACACCUAGUGUAUUGGAUGCAUGCAUCAUUAUUUCAAAAUGAAUACACUCUAGGUGUCAUGGAUGUGCCCACAAUGGGCGUGUAGGCUAGCAUUCACCUUUAUUUUCAAGUGGCUAAUUAUUGACUGCUCUCUGCAAUAACUCUGGUUCUACCCAAUAUGACAUCAAAUUUGUGGCACUAUUCUCAUCCAUUCGACAGAUGCAGAUCAAGUAUCUGGAGUUAGUUUUGAUUUUGCCGUAGUUGACUCCAAUUCCCUGAUGUUUGUUUUCCAUCAUGCACCUGACGCGGCAAAUGCACUGUAUGGUGAUAAAGAAUUAAGUUUUGACACGGUCACUCAAUCAGAUACUCAGAGAUGGACGGUAAUUUCUUUUAAGUUCUUUUUUUUUUACGUUCUUGUUUGACCCUAGUGAAUUGUCACGAUCUUUUAUGAAGAUAUCACAUGAAUAAGAAAAUGAAUUCAUGAGUUUCCAUGACAGGAGUAGGUCCUUACCUGUAGGAAUCUUUCGGUUGUCGAGUUUGGUAUUGCCAACAAAGAGUUUCUGUUAUUACUAUCAUGGAUUUCACACCUCAUUGAAACAAAUACUAGUGUUUGUGAUAUAAUCCAUACUUGGUCAAGCCAUGCAAUUUAUACAUUCAGCAUAAAAAUUAAACAUUAGCCUCGUACUGCUUAUUAUUGACAUUGAAUAGCAAAAAAAAAGUGCCCUGGUACCUUUUGGUCCCAAUAUGGCUGGCUUCUCACAGCAUGAGCUUGAUUAGCAAAAGUACCUCUAAAUUUAUAAUUACAAUGGACACUGAUUACGAAUCCAAAUUCUCUUUUUUACAGGGAAUUUUUCCCAUUAAUGCUUUGUUUUCAAGAAGCCUGAAGUUUCCCACAACGAAUGAAGAAAUCUUGAAAGAAUACUCAAAAUUUCCACUUGUGACGUCUCACAUAUCCCCUAGCAUCUCGACUGAGGGAUCUCGGAGAGUCAACUUGGAGUUCUCGUUAGGGUAUGCUUUCUAAAAUUCUCCGCUGAUAUGUAUUUGAUAGAGUCCUUUGUCGGACGGCUUGCUUCCUGGAUUCUUCUUAAUACGAUGAAAUACUGCUGUUUGACUCCCUCAUGCAGUUCCUUGAAGGAGGUGUGGGUUGCAGUCCUCAACAUUACAGGUACCGUUAUCAAUUGGUCAUUUGCAAAUAACAUAGUUCCAGGUUGAUUUGUAAUUCCUUUGUCCCAUCCCAACGUCAUUUUCUAUGUCGUGCGCUAAUAUCUGUUCGAACUUUUGACAGCUACUGUUAGAAUUGGCAACGGGCCACCAUCAUACAUUUGCAGACUGAGCGGCACAGGCUACGAGAAUUGGACAUUCUGGUUGGAGGUAAUCAAACUAUCUCACAAUUGAUCAUGGCUUCUGAUGAAGAGAUUCCUUGCAUCUUCAGACAGUCUUAAUCUAGUUUCUGAAACCUUGAUGCAACUGGCAUGCUUCCGUUGUGCAGGCCAACACAUCGGAACGUCUCAGGCUCGAUGUUGCUGUGGUGGACCUGCAUUUAACCGAGCAAACGACGAAAUUGAAAGGCCUUUUUCCAAGUUGGAUGGAUGUCAUUGGCUCAUUGCCUUCACAAGUUUCUUGUCUUCCUAUACCUUCUAAUCCCAUGCAUCCUUUUCUUCUUCGCCUAAUUUUUCCUUACUAUUGUGUAUAUUUACUUGGCUAGUCUCUUUAAUAUGGAUUUACAUACUGAUUGAAAUUUGAAACUAUUUUUCCAGUGAUUCAUAAUUGAUUGAUUGAAGAAACAUCUUGGUUGAAAUUCUUUCUUUUGAUGUAGUGAAAGUUUUUGGGCAUUAUAUAACUACUACUCUUUUUAGUAAGCAACAGAAACAAUUAUCAAAAGAAUUUGAAGUUUUAAGUGUUGACUACAAUGAUAGAUGAAAAGUAUAAUACUGAUCGUUACCAUUAAUAUUAUAAGCAAUGGUUAAUUUUUUAAACAUGAAUAUCUUAUUAUAAGGAACCCAUAAUCUUCAUUUAACGAUGUCAAGUAUCUUUUUUAUUUAGUUUUCCAGUAGAUCGAGUUUAUUUUGACGAAGUAAAUAACCAAUGUAUUUAUGUCACAUCAAUGUGACAAAUCUUAAGGAAAUGGAGNCUCUUACUACUAUAAUACUACUAAAUACUACUAUAUAUAUAUAUAUAUAUAUAUAUAUAUAUCUAUAUAUAUAUAUAUAGGAUCGCAUUCAAUGGAGACCAUCCCUUAGAUAAAGAAUGAAGACCAAAUCAAGGCCAUUCAUCUCAAUCCAAUCAAUGAUCCAGAUUAUUUCCUGAUUUGAUUUUUCAUGUAAUUAAAUAAUGGUUAAUUACAUUUAUUUAAUCCAAAAAGGGCAAAAACGUCCACUCAAAUCUACUGAAAUAUGGGAUCCCGUUGAACAAAUCCCGAAAAUUCUCUUUUCCCAUUCUGGGACCUGAUCCGUCAAUGAACAUAAUAGGUGAACAUUAGUAUGUUCAUUAUUUUCCUACGAACAUUUCGACGAACAUCAGUGUGUUCAUUGGUUUUUCUACGAACAUAUUGACGAAUAUUAGUAUGUUCAUUAGUUUUUCUACGAACAUCAAUAUGUUCAUUGGUUUUUCUACGAACAUAUUAACGAACAUCAGUAUGUUCAUUGAUAUUUUCUACGAACACUUCAUUGACGAUAUGCAGAUCUGCAAAUCCGGCGGCGGCGCGGCGCGGCGGUCGCCACCACGAGCGUUCUACCAUCGUCGUCUUCAUCGGCUUCACCCUAACGAUGCCGGGGCAGCACAGUCUCGAGAAUCCCUUCGCCUGCAACGCCAGCGGAGCAGCAGGAGGAGGAGGAGAUGGAGACAAUUGGGGAGGGAGGCGGUGGAAGGGAGAAUGGAGGGGAUGGCGGCGGAGAGAGCAGGAGAAGGAGGAUGGAAUGGAGGCGAGCAGCGAGAAGAGGCGACGGAGGGGAGGAGACGGGGAGCAGUAGGAGAGAUGGGGGCGGCGGAGCAGCAGGGAUGGGAGGCGGCGGGGAGGGGGAGAGUGAUUGAGAGAGAGAGAUAGAGAGAGAGAGAGCGUGAAUGAGAGAGAGUGAGUGAGAUUAGGGUUAAAUAGAAAAUGACAUGCUUAACCUUUUGAUUAUAAAAUAAAUGAAAAUUAAUAAAUUUAAUCAAUUAAAUUACCACCAUUAGAUUAAGUUAGAUCAAGGAACCAGAUUUGGUCUUCAUUCUCUAUAUAGGGGAGUGGUCUCCAUUGAACUCUCCCAUAUAUAUAUAUAUAUGGGAAGGCUAAAAUAAGAACGCUUCUUAAAAUAUAAAUUAGGAAUCAUUUUCAGCCCUUAGAUCAUCAAGAUCUACGGUUGAUUCAUCACCUUGUUGGAUGAAUUCAUGGUCCUGAGUUCGAAUCCCAAAGGUAGCAAAAAAUUUAUUUUCGCAAUUCAUACAUUUAUACAGUGUAUUCAUGCGUGUUAUACAUAUAAAAUUCAUACAUUUUUGAUGGUUCGUAAUUCUUAAAAUAAGGAUGGUUUAUUGAAUAACCGCCCCCUAUAUAUAUAUAUAUAUAUAUAUUAUUUUUGUUUAUCAUAUAAGUAUUCUAUUAAUAUAUGCAGUAAACUGAAAAGAUAUUUAAAAAAAGUGAAUCUACGAUCAACUAUAUCGCAAGACGGGUUGAAUGGUUUGGUUAUGUUAUCAAUUGAAAGAAAAUUGGUCGAUCAGUUAGAUUACAAACUUGAUAAAUACAUUUGCCUCUAAAACUGUAAUACGUGUUGUAUUUAGAUAAAGUAAGAAACAUAUCUUUAUUUUGAACUAAUUUUUAUUGUAUGUUCUAUCAAUAUUUCAUAUUAUUUAUUUUUUCUAAAAUUCUAAUAUUUUUGUCCUUUUUAUCCUUGCUAGAUAUACAAGAAAUUGUGUUUUGGUUAGAUAUUGUGAGGACAGAUUGCAUUCAAUACUGCUACUAUGGUGAACCAUAUUAUAAAGUAUUUAUUUACAUAGCUUCGUCUUAUGAAAGUUCUUUUCUUCAUUUAGAUCAUACCGUUAAUGUUGAAUUUCUUAAUAACUUAUCUUUUCUUCUCUUUUGAUUGAAAACUCUUUUGAAUAAUUGGUUGAAAAAGUUUGUGUUAAUAUAUUAUUGUUGUUUUAUCGAUAUAAAAAAAAUUAUAAGGGCCUAUUUUUUAAUUUUUGCUUAGGGCCCUGUGAGAUACAGGACCGGCCCUGAAUGUUAGCAUACACACCCUCACGUGCACCUCCAUGAACACCUAGUGUAUUGGAUGCAUGCAUCAUUAUUUCAAAAUGAAUACACUCUAGGUGUCAUGGAUGUGCCCACAAUGGGCGUGUAGGCUAGCAUUCACCUUUAUUUUCAAGUGGCUAAUUAUUGACUGCUCUCCGCAAUAACUCUGGUUCUACCCAAUAUGACAUCAAAUUUGUGGCACUAUUCUCAUCCAUUCGACAGAUGCAGAUCAAGUAUCUGGAGUUAGUUUUGAUUUUGCCGUAGUUGACUCCAAUUCCCUGAUGUUUGUUUUCCAUCAUGCACCUGACGCGGCAAAUGCACUGUAUGG
rnacentral:lncRNA from 1 species